UGUGCGUUGCGGUGUGAGGUAGUUGGUUGUAUGGUUUUGCAUAAUAAACAGCCCGGAGUUAACUGUACAACCUUCUAGCUUUCCCUGCGGCUGCACG
rnacentral:pre_miRNA from 1 species